ensembl:scaRNA
GUGACUGUUUCUGGUAAUGAUUGCAUUUGUCAGUUGUACAAUGCAACCAUAGUCACAUACAUCAGAACAGAUGGUUCCUGCCGACAGAGACUGUAGAGUUAUCAGAUUUUCUGUGCCAUGGCUCCAUAUACU